CCUACGGGUGACAGCAGUGGGGAAUAUUGCACAAUGGGGGGAAGCCUGAUGCAGCGACGCCGCGUGAGUGAAGAAGUAUUUCGGUAUGUAAAGCUCUGUCAGCAGGGAAGAAAAUGACGGUACCUGACUAAGAAGCCCCGGCUAACUACGUGCCAGCAGCCGCGGUAAUACGUAGGGGGCAAGCGUUAUCCGGAUUUACUGGGUGUGAGGGGAGCGGAGACGGCAGAGCAAGUCUGAGGUGAAGGCCCGCGGCUCAACUGCGGGACUGCUUUGGAAACUGCCCGGCUAGAGUGCUGGAGAGGUAAGUGGAAUUCCUAGUGUAGCGGUGAAAUGCGUAGAUAUUAGGAGGAACACCAGUGGCGAAGGCAGCUUACUGGACAGUAACUGACGUUGAGGCUCGAAAGCGUGGGGAGCAAACAGGAUUAGAUACCCCAGUAGUC
rnacentral:rRNA from 1 species